rnacentral:ncRNA from 1 species
GACCCAAAACUGAUCGAUCUAGCCAUGAGCAGGUUAAAUAGAGCUGUAACAGGCCUUGGAGGAUCGAACCCACGUAUGUGGCAAAAUACAGGGAUGACUUUUGGCUAGAGGUGAAAGGCCAACCAAGAUCGGAUAUAGUUGG